CAACACCACCGGAAUCAGUUCAAUGCUUCGGCAGGAAGAAGACCGCCGUCGCCGUAACUCACUGCAAGCGCGGCCGCGGCUUGAUCAAAAUCAACGGCGUUCCAAUCGAGCUCGUUCAGCCGGAGAUCCUCCGUUACAAGGCCUUCGAGCCAAUCCUCCUCCUCGGUCGCCACCGCUUCGCCGGCGUCGACAUGAGGAUCCGCGUCAAAGGAGGCGGUCACACCUCGCAGAUCUACGCUAUUCGUCAGUCAAUUGCGAAGGCUCUGGUUGCGUAUUACCAGAAGUUCGUCGACGAAGAGUCGAAGAAGGAGAUUAAGGAUAUUUUGGUGAGGUAUGAUAGGACUUUGCUUGUUGCUGAUCCCAGAAGGUGCGAGCCGAAGAAGUUCGGAGGUCGUGGUGCUCGUGCAAGGUUCCAGAAGUCUUACCGUUGAUUUCUCGAAAGCCGAGACGUUUAUCGGUUUGCUUGCUGCUAUUUUAGUGAUUUUGAAUUC
rnacentral:lncRNA from 1 species